rnacentral:rRNA from 1 species
CAGGCCUAACACAUGCAAGUCGAACGAAGCCUUCGGGCUUAGUGGCGGACGGGUUAGUAACGCGUGGGAAUGUACCCUUCACUACGGAAUAGUCCCGGGAAACUGGGUUUAAUACCGUAUACGCCCUUCGGGGGAAAGAAUUUCGGUGAAGGAUCAGCCCGCGUUAGAUUAGGUAGUUGGUGGGGUAAUGGCCUACCAAGCCUACGAUCUAUAGCUGGUUUGAGAGGAUGAUCAGCAACACUGGGACUGAGACACGGCCCAGACUCCUACGGGAGGCAGCAGUGGGGAAUCUUAGACAAUGGGGGAAACCCUGAUCUAGCCAUGCCGCGUGAGUGACGAAGGUCUUAGGAUCGUAAAGCUCUUUCAACUGUGAAGAUAAUGACGGUAGCAGUAGAAGAAACCCCGGCUAACUCCGUGCCAGCAGCCGCGGUAAUACGGAGGGGGUUAGCGUUGUUCGGAAUUACUGGGCGUAAAGCGCACGUAGGCGGAUUGGAAAGUUGGGGGUGAAAUCCCGGGGCUCAACCUCGGAACUGCCUCCAAAACUAUCAGUCUAGAGUUCGAGAGAGGUGAGUGGAAUUCCGAGUGAGAGGUGAAAUUCGUAGAUAUUCGGAAGAACACCAGUGGCGAAGGCGGCUCACUGGCUCGAUACUGACGCUGAGGUGCGAAAGUGUGGGUAGCAAACAGGAUUAGAUACCCUGGUAGUCCACACCGUAAACGAUGAAUGCCAGUCGUCAGGGGGCUUGCCCCUUGGUGACACACCUAACGGAGUAAGCAUUCCGCCUGGGGAGUACGGCCGCAAGGUUAAAAC